rnacentral:rRNA from 1 species
AACGCGAAGAACCUUACCUGGGCUCGAAGCGCAGUGGAUAUGGGUGGAAACAUCCCUUUCUCGCAAGAGACUGCUGCGGAGGUGCUGCAUGGCUGUCGUCAGCUCGUGUCGUGAGAUGUUGGGUUAAGUCCCGCAACGAGCGCAACCCUUAUCGUUAGUUGCCAGCGAGUCAAGUCGGGCACUCUAGCGAAACCGCCUCGGAUAACGGGGAGGAAGGUGGGGAUGACGUCAAGUCCUCAUGGCCUUUAUGUCCAGGGCUACACACGUGCUACAAUGGCCGGUACAAUGGGCUGCGAAACCGUGAGGUGGAGCGAAUCCCAAAAAGCCGGUCUCAGUUCGGAUUGGGGUCUGCAACCCGACCCCAUGAAGUCGGAGUCGCUAGUAAUCGCAGAUCAGCAACGCUGCGGUGAAUACGUUCCCGGGCCUUGUACACACCGCAUAC